GGUUGGAUUUAAUAAACAGACUAAAUGGAUUGGGUCGGAUCGAUUAAAUAGCUUAUCUGUUUAAUAAACAGAUUAAAUGGAUCAGAUCGAAUGACUAGUUUAUUAAACAGGUCAGGUUCGGUUUGAAAAUCUGACCUAUUUAAUAAAUAAGUCGAGUUCAAAUUUGAUGUUUUCUAAUUCGAUCCGCAUCUAAUCCGAUCUGUUUAUUUAUAA
rnacentral:lncRNA from 1 species